rnacentral:rRNA from 1 species
GGUGCUGCAUGGCUGUCGUCAGCUCGUGUCGUGAGAUGUUCGGUUAAGUCCGCUAACGAGCGCAACCCUCGCUGUGUGUUAUAUGUGUCACACGGGACUGCCGGUCUUAAGCCGGAGGAAGUGGGAUGAUGUCAAGUCAGCAUGGCCUUUAGUAUCCUGGGCUACACACACGCUACAAUGGCCAGCACAGUAGGUUGCUAAGCCGCGAGGUGGAGCCAAUCCAUAAAGGCUGGUCUCAGUUCAGAUUGCAGGCUGCAACCCGCCUGCAUGAAGAUGGAGUUGCUAGUAACCGCAGGUCAGCUAUACUGCGGUGAAUACGUUCCCGGGGCUU